GAUGAACGCUGGCGGCGUGCUUAACACAUGCAAGUCGAACGGAGUUUACAUGUGAGCGGAGGGUGCUUGCAUCUAACAAUCUUUUGUAAACUUAGUGGCGGACGGGUGAGUAACGCGUGGGUAACCUGCCGUAUACAGGGGGACAACAGUUGGAAACGACUGCUAAUACCGCAUAAGCGCACAGGACCGCAUGGUCUGGUGUGAAAAACUCCGGUGGUAUACGAUGGACCCGCGUCUGAUUAGCUAGUUGGUGAGGUAACGGCCCACCAAGGCGACGAUCAGUAGCCGGCCUGAGAGGUUGAACGGCCACAUUGGGACUGAGAUACGGCCCAG
rnacentral:rRNA from 1 species